rnacentral:rRNA from 1 species
CGCGUAGGCGGUUGAUCAAGUCCGGGGUGAAAUCUUUCGGCUUAACCGGAAAGUAGCCUCGGAUACUGAUCAGCUGGAGGGAGGUAGGGGCAGCUGGAACUUCCAGUGGAGCGGCGAAAUGCGUUGAUAUUGGAAGGAACGCCGGUGGCGAAAGCGAGCUGCUGGACCUCUUCUGACGCUGAGGCGCGAAAGCUAGGGGGGAGCAAACGGGAUUAGAUACCCCGGUAGUCCUAGCCCUAAACGAUGGGUACUAGGUAGUGGACUUAACAUGGGUUCACUGCCGAAGCAAAAGUGUUAAGUACCCCGCCUGGGGAGUAUGGUCGCAAGGCUGAA